rnacentral:rRNA from 1 species
CGAGCGCAACCUUACUCUUAGUUGCCAGCACGUAAGUGGGGGUCUAAGAGGACUGCCAAUGAUAAAUUGGAGGAAGGUGAGGACGACGUCAAGUCAUCAUGGCCCUUAUGUCUGGGGCUACACACGUGCUACAAUGGCGUACAAAGAGCGCAUCCGCGAGGUUAAGCAAUCUCAAAAACUCUAAGUUCGGAUUGAAGUCUGCAACUCGACUUCAUGAAGUGGAAUCGCUAGUAAUUGCAGAUCAGUACGCUGCAGUGAAUACGUUCCUGGGUC